rnacentral:lncRNA from 1 species
UUUGCUUGGCCUCCUGAGUUGUCUUCUUCAGCAUCCCCCAGGGAACGUCAUGCAGAUAAUCAAAGGUCAGUUCCUGGUCAACAUAAGUAAACAAGCUUAUUUAAGGCCUUACACUGUCUUUGGCUUGGAGAUGGGGUUUCACCAAGGACCUGCCCCUAUCUGCCUAGGCAUUUGGCUGCCUCCUGCCUCUCUCACUACAAGCUGGAAACCCCAAGAAAAUGGAUUAUCCCCUAUAAUGUCCAGAAAGAAACACAGUCCAGCAGACACCUGAGCUUUAGGCCAAUGAGCUCUGUGCAACACUUCUUCUGCCUUUCAGAAUUGUAAGUUAAUAAAGUUAAGUUUUAAG